GGGAGGGAAGCGGGGCUCCGCGGGCGGCCUCCGUGGCCGCGGGUUCGGAACCCGGCUGGGCGCAAGGUGCCCGGCGUGAGCGAGGUCCGCGCUUCCGGGAGCGGAGCAUCCUCUCGGGCCGGACCCGCGGGCUGGAGUCAACCCCACCGCACCCCAACCCGGGUUCACGAUUGCUCCAGCGCGGGGCUCUGGGCUCUGGGCUGGACCCUCAGGGAGACCACAAGACGAUCUGGUGAACCACGACUCUGUACACCUGGUUAAAGGAUUAUUAUUGCUGUGCGGUUAUAAGCCUAUCCGGGGGCAUAAAGAAUCCCUGAACAUUACAGUGCUGAACAUUUGGCACGUUUCAGGAUCCACGGACUUGCUAAAUCUUAUUCCAAACUGAGGCUGAGAAAACGGUGCUAGCUUUUGCUCACCAUAGUUUUGAAGGAAAAUGGAACAAGCAAAGUUGUUCUUGGAAAACUAGGUUAAUUGAAGGCAAAUAAAGAUAUUCCCCUUCAGCAGAAGGAGCUGGUUAGGAAGUACAUCAAAUGAGGGCCAUGUUAUACAAAUGCCAGUGGGUUUCUCAAGAGUCUUUGGAAGAGCAAUGAAAGGAGAGGAAGUAGGAAGAAGACCCCAGCCCAGCCUGCACUGGUGGGUUCCUGGGCCAGGAGCAAACCCCGGGCACCAGGCGUACCCCACUCUCCUGUGUCCACACUGUCUGAGGCUGGGUUUCCGAGGAGGAGGAGCUGAGUUCUGUCCAGUGGAUCAACCACAGGUUUAGAAAUGGGGGAUCUGUAUUCGGGCUGCCUUCAGACUCUAGCACUAUAUCACCACGUACCACUCCAGUGUGCUGGAGCUAGAACCUCCCCCCUUUUCACUACUUAACCAUUGCAUAAUAAUUACAUUGCCCUGCUUAUUGAACACUAAAAGAGAAUUUGCACCUCUUUCUUUGCAGUUAUUGGCCAGUGUUCCAUUCUAAUGAGGUCCCCGGAUUGGGCUCUAUGGAGGAGGGAGGGGGAGCUUGGUAAAGUUCAGCUCUGAAAUGCAGAACAAAUCCUAUAAAAGAAAGUAAUCGAUUAUCUGAUAGGUAGAGGAGGACAAAAGAACUUGGGGCCAUGUUUAAGUAGGCCUCAGCAGUUUGCAAAAACUUUUCUUUAUAUUUGACACAGAAAACUUCAUAAAUUGCAUUUCUUUCUCUUCUUUUCUCUUUUUCUUCUUUCUUUCAUUUUCUUUCCAGCUUUUAAAUCAUCUCCAACCUGGGAGAUUUUCUUUUCUUUUCUAGUGAAAUGCUCCCGGAAGGCUUGGAUUAGACACCAACUAGCCACAAAUGCCCCAACAAUGAAUAAGCUGCGCCCAGACGUGUGGAGCCGUGUGGAGGGACCGGACCGGACCACAGCCCCCAGCUGUACCUGGUUCGGCGAUGAGGUCUUGCCAGCCCCAUACCAUUAGAUGUGAAAGGUGACUUGAAAACAUGACGUGAUUCUGGGCAAAAUCAUUGUGUCCUGUUGGCAAGAAGAUGUAGUUAUAUUCCCAAGUUCUGCUCAGGAACAGCCGGCCACAUGUCGGGGCUGACCCUUGAGAUGAGACAGGAUCCGUCCAGCACAUGGGAUUCAUGAAGAAACUCAUGUGUUUGGGGAGAGGGGAUGGGGUUUGGGGGUCGCCUCUCCAUUCUUCUUGCUGAGGGCUCCUGUGAUAAUCAGUGGCUCUGGCAGCCGCCUGGCAAACAAGGAUAAUUCAUCACCAAACAAUUUUCACUCUGACAUAGUUUAAUGAGCUCAUUUAAACUUUGCUUUUACAAAAAAUUUUUUCCCUGAUAAUGUUAAUCUUCUCCCUGCUAUUCCUUACAACUUAAUUUUUUUUUUUUUCACUUCUUGGUCGGCCUUGCAGGGAGUUGUGCUGCAGUUAACACAGAGGUAGAGGGCAUCGGUGGGUCAGCACGAGCCUUUUGGGCAGUAAGGUACCCCUGCUCCUGGAGCGACCCCAUGAGAGGCACAUCCUCACGUGUGUGGUGUGCUCCUCCUCACAGGUAUGACAUUUUGUCUGAAUUCCAUAGUCUGAGUUCAGGGGUCCACACACAGACUCCUAACUUCUGGCCACAGUCCUGAAUUCACAGCCAUAACUCUACUGAUGUUUGGUUUUAACCUUUUGAAAAUCAUCUU
rnacentral:lncRNA from 1 species